UUGUAAUAAAUCAGCUCGUAAAGUCGCCGAUUUUUGUUUCUUUUUGAUGGUGAAAUGUUUAGUAGGCUCUGGUUUAUGACCAACCUGACAAAAAUAAAAUUAUAACAGUGACAAGUGACGUAUGUCACUUACAACAGAGACAAGGGCUGAUUUAUUUAAAUAGUGGCACUCCAUUGGUAGCAUAACAUUCUCAGCUUGUUUGCGAACUAGUUUCCGAAGAUCUGUAACUAAAUCUGUGAAGAUUGGUCUCACUUCGUCCAAAUCUGAAAUUUCUGUGUUCAAAGACCCAGUCGAAGGAUACGUCUUUAAAGCCUCAGCUAACAUCGCGACCCACAAUUCCGAAUCUGCGACGGCCACAUCGAGGAUUUGCUCCAACUCUAACUUCCACUAAAAAAACAGCAGAACUCCCACUAGCCCCAAUCCUACACCUGCUGCGAGAGACCGCGGCGAUGCCCCAUCGGCCAUUAUACUCUGAAGCGGAUGAUGAGCGAUGCCUCCCACAGCCCCCAAAAGACUGAUACCAAGCCCGGUCAAACCCUAAACAAAAAUUGUAAUACUUUUGUUGUAUUCAAAAAUUCUUACAGAAAUUAUAAAUAAAUGAUUUUUAUGCCUU